UACGUAGGGUGCGAGCGUUAAUCGGAAUUACUGGGCGUAAAGCGUGCGCAGGCGGUGAUGUAAGACAGGUGUGAAAUCCCCGGGCUUAACCUGGGAACUGCAUUUGUGACUGCAUCGCUGGAGUGCGGCAGAGGGGGAUGGAAUUCCGCGUGUAGCAGUGAAAUGCGUAGAUAUGCGGAGGAACACCGAUGGCGAAGGCAAUCCCCUGGGCCAGUACUGACGCUCAUGCACGAAAGCGUGGGGAGCAAACAGG
rnacentral:rRNA from 1 species